rnacentral:rRNA from 1 species
UACGAAGGGUGCAAGCGUUACUCGGAAUUACUGGGCGUAAAGCGUGCGUAGGUGGUUUGUUAAGUCUGUUGUGAAAGCCCCGGGCUCAACCUGGGAAUGGCAAUGGAUACUGGCAAGCUAGAGUGCGGUAGAGGGUAGUGGAAUUCCCGGUGUAGCGGUGAAAUGCGUAGAUAUCAGGAGGAACACCUGUGGCGAAAGCGGCGCACUGGACCACAACUGACGCUGAGGCGCGAAAGCUAGGGGAGCAAACAGG